CUAGCAAGGGAAAAAGGUGAUACUACGUUACCCAAAGACACAAGAAAAAUUGCAUCAAAACACAACACUUCAUAGACAUCGAUUAAUGUAAUGACCAACAUCUAUAGUGCCCAUAGACAUCGGGCAAUGCAAUGUUUGACGUGUUUAUAGACGUCGGACGUGUCACUGAACCGACGUCUAGGGUUCCUCUAUAGUGCCCUUAGACGUUGGUUAGUGUAAUGUCUAAUGUCUUUAUAGUCAUCGAGCUUUGCACUAAACCGACGUCUAUAGCAACAUCGCACCUGC
rnacentral:lncRNA from 1 species